GGAAGUAAAAGUCGUAACAAGGUCUCCGUUGGUGAACCAGCGGAGGGAUCAUUACCGAGUUUACAACUCCCAAACCCCUGUGAACAUACCACUUGUUGCCUCGGCGGAUCAGCCCGCUCCCGGUAAAACGGGACGGCCCGCCAGAGGACCCCUAAACUCUGUUUCUAUAUGUAACUUCUGAGUAAAACCAUAAAUAAAUCAAAACUUUCAACAACGGAUCUCUUGGUUCUGGCAUCGAUGAAGAACGCAGCAAAAUGCGAUAAGUAAUGUGAAUUGCAGAAUUCAGUGAAUCAUCGAAUCUUUGAACGCACAUUGCGCCCGCCAGUAUUCUGGCGGGCAUGCCUGUUCGAGCGUCAUUUCAACCCUCAAGCACAGCUUGGUGUUGGGACUCGCGUUAAUUCGCGUUCCUCAAAUUGAUUGGCGGUCACGUCGAGCUUCCAUAGCGUAGUAGUAAAACCCUCGUUACUGGUAAUCGUCGCGGCCACGCCGUUAAACCCCAACUUCUGAAUGUUGACCUCGGAUCAGGUAGGAAUACCCGCUGAACUUAAGCA
rnacentral:rRNA from 1 species